rnacentral:rRNA from 1 species
AUUGAACGCUGGCGGCAGGCUUAACACAUGCAAGUCGAGCGGGGUGAUGGUGCUUGCACUAUCACUUAGCGGCGGACGGGUGAGUAAUGCUUAGGAAUCUGCCUAUUAGUGGGGGACAACAUCUCGAAAGGGAUGCUAAUACCGCAUACGUCCUACGGGAGAAAGCAGGGGAUCACUUGUGACCUUGCGCUAAUAGAUGAGCCUAAGUCGGAUUAGCUAGUUGGUGGGGUAAAGGCCUACCAAGGCGACGAUCUGUAGCGGGUCUGAGAGGAUGAUCCGCCACACUGGGACUGAGACACGGCCCAGACUCCUACGGGAGGCAGCAGUGGGGAAUAUUGGACAAUGGGGGGAACCCUGAUCCAGCCAUGCCGCGUGUGUGAAGAAGGCCUUAUGGUUGUAAAGCACUUUAAGCGAGGAGGAGGCUCUUUUGGUUAAUACCCAAGAUGAGUGGACGUUACUCGCAGAAUAAGCACCGGCUAACUCUGUGCCAGCAGCAGCCGCCG